rnacentral:tRNA from 2 species
UCCGGGGUAGCUCAGCUGGCAGAGCAUCUGACUGUUAAUCAGAGGGUCGUGGGUUCGAGCCCCACCCCCGGAGC